rfam:Medicago truncatula strain A17 chromosome 5, whole genome shotgun sequence.
AUCCCAGUUAAGAUUGAAUAUUGAAGUUCUUAAACUGAUUCAUGGGAGGCCAAAAUUAAGUGUUGGAAGUUUCGCUGAUAAAUGCCAUAUUUGAUUAUUACAUCAAGGUGUUUACUAGUAACUAUGCCGCAUAUUC